CCUACGGGUGGCAGCAGUGGGGAAUAUUGCACAAUGGGGGAAACCCUGAUGCAGCGACGCCGCGUGAGUGAAGAAGUAACUCGGUAUGUAAAGCUCUAUCAGCAGGGAAGAAAAUGACGGUACCUGACUAAGAAGCCCCGGCUAACUACGUGCCAGCAGCCGCGGUAAUACGUAGGGGGCAAGCGUUAUCCGGAUUUACUGGGUGUAAAGGGAGCGUAGACGGCCAGACAAGUCAGGAGUGAAAACCCAGGGCUCAACCCUGGGACUGCUUUUGAAACUGGCGGGCUGGAGUGCAGGAGGGGGUAGCGGAAUUCCGAGUGGAGCGGUGAAAUGGGUAGAUAUUAAGGGGAACACCAGGGGCGAAGGCGGCUUACUGGACUUUAACUGACGUUGGGGCUCGAAAGGGUGGGGAGCAAACAGGAUUAGAUACCCCGGUAGUC
rnacentral:rRNA from 1 species